UACGUAGGGUGCAAGCGUUGUCCGGAAUUAUUGGGCGUAAAGAGCUCGUAGGCGGUUUGUUGCGUCGGCUGUGAAAUCCCCGAGGCUCAACCUCGGGUCUGCAGUCGAUACGAGCAAACUAGAGUGUUGCAGGGGAGACUGGAAUUCCUGGUGUAGCGGUGAAAUGCGCAGAUAUCAGGAGGAACACCGGUGGCGAAGGCGGGUCUCUGGGGCAACAACUGACGCUGAGGAGCGAAAGCGUGGGGAGCGAACAGG
rnacentral:rRNA from 1 species